CGGGAAUAGCUCAAAUUUUAAAUCUGGCCGGCGUGGUCGGUCCGAGUUGUAAUUUGAAGAAGCGAUUAUCACGUCUUCGUUCGGGUUCAAGUUCCUUGGAAUAGGACAUCAGAGAGGGUGAGAAUCCCGU
rnacentral:rRNA from 1 species